rnacentral:tRNA from 1 species
GCGCCCGUAGCAUAACUGGAUAAUGCAUUUGGCUACGAACCAAAAGACUGAGGGUUCGAAUCCUUCCGGGCGCGCCA